AUAUCAAUAAGCGGAGGAAAUCACUAGUGAAUUC
rnacentral:rRNA from 2 species